rnacentral:rRNA from 1 species
UUUGCCGGUCACAGCAGAACGGGAAACACCCGUACCCAUUCCGAACACGGAAGUUAAGCCGAUCUGCGUUUAAGUGUUAGUCCAGUGCUAACGCCUGUGCGAAGCUUAGAUGUUGGCAAGC